CCUACUGGAGGCAGCAGUGGGGAAUUUUGGACAAUGGGCGCAAGCCUGAUCCAGCAAUGCCGCGUGAGUGAAGAAGGCCUUCGGGUUGUAAAGCUCUUUUGUCAGGGAAGAAACGGUGGGAGCUAAUAUCUCCCGCUAAUGACGGUACCUGAAGAAUAAGCACCGGCUAACUACGUGCCAGCAGCCGCGGUAAUACGUAGGGUGCAAGCGUUAAUCGGAAUUACUGGGCGUAAAGCGUGCGCAGGCGGUUUUGUAAGUCUGUCGUGAAAGCCCCGGGCUCAACCUGGGAAUUGCGAUGGAGACUGCAAGGCUUGAAUCUGGCAGAGGGGGGUAGAAUUCCACGUGUAGCAGUGAAAUGCGUAGAGAUGUGGAGGAACACCGAUGGCGAAGGCAGCCCCCUGGGUCAAGAUUGACGCUCAUGCACGAAAGCGUGGGGAGCAAACAGGAUUAGAUACCCUGGUAGUCCACGCCCUAAACGAUGUCUACUAGUUGUCGGGUUUUAAUUAACUUGGUAACGCAGCUAACGCGUGAAGUAGACCGCCUGGGGGUACGUCGCAAGAUUAAACNCAAAUGGAUUGAGNGNGAGAGNGCGAGACGACGACGAGGGAGGAGG
rnacentral:rRNA from 1 species